rnacentral:rRNA from 1 species
UACGUAGGGCGCAAGCGUUUAUCCGGAAUUAUUGGGCGUAAAGAGCUCGUAGGCGGUUUGUCGCGUCUGCCGUGAAAGUCCGGGGCUCAACUCCGGAUCUGCGGUGGGUACGGGCAGACUAGAGUGAUGUAGGGGAGACUGGAAUUCCUGGUGUAGCGGUGAAAUGCGCAGAUAUCAGGAGGAACACCGAUGGCGAAGGCAGGUCUCUGGGCCGAUACUGACGCUGAGGAGCGAAAGCGUGGGGGAGCGAAACAGG